UACAGAGGGUGCGAGCGUUAAUCGGAAUUACUGGGCGUAAAGCGCACGUAGGCGGCUUGGUAUGUCGGGUGUGAAAUCCCCCGGGCUCAACCUGGGAACUGCAUCCGAAACUGCCUUGCUAGAGUAUGGGAGGGGGAAGUGGAAUUUCCGGUGUAGCGGUGAAAUGCGUAGAUAUCGGAAGGAACAUCAGUGGCGAAGGCGACUUCCUGGACCAAUACUGACGCUCAGGUGCGAAAGCGUGGGGAGCAAACAGG
rnacentral:rRNA from 1 species